rnacentral:rRNA from 1 species
CCUACGGGAGGCAGCAGUGGGGAAUAUUGGACAAUGGGCGAAAGCCUGAUCCAGCCAUGCCGCGUGUGUGAAGAAGGCCUUCGGGUUGUAAAGCACUUUCAGUUGGGAAGAAAGCCUUGGGGCUAAUACCCUCGAGGAAGUACAUCACCCACAGAAGAAGCACCGGCUAACUCCGUGCCAGCAGCCGCGGUAAUACGGAGGGUGCGAGCGUUAAUCGGAAUUACUGGGCGUAAAGCGCGCGUAGGCGGUCUGAUAAGCCGGUUGUGAAAGCCCCGGGCUCAACCUGGGAACGGCAUCCGGAACUGUCAGGCUAGAGUGCAGGAGAGGAAGGUAGAAUUCCCGGUGUAGCGGUGAAAUGCGUAGAGAUCGGGAGGAAUACCAGUGGCGAAGGCGGCCUUCUGGACUGACACUGACGCUGAGGUGCGAAAGCGUGGGUAGCAAACAGGAUUAGAUACCCCAGUAGUC